UGACCACACACUUCCAUUUC
rnacentral:misc_RNA from 1 species